UGUGUGUGUGUGUGUGUGUGUGUGUGUGUGUGUGUGUGUGUGUGUGUGUGUGUGUGUGUGUGUGUGUGUGUGUGUGUGUGUGUGUGUGUGUGUGUGUGUGUGUGUGUGUGUGUGUGUGUGUGUGUGUGUGUGUGUGUGUGUGUGUGUGUGUGUGUGUGUGUGUGUGUGUGUGUGUGUGUGUGUGUGUGUGUGUGUGUGUGUGUGUGUGUGUGUGUGUGUGUGUGUGUGUGUGUGUGUGUGUGUGUGAGUUUGUAAAACCUACCAACCGGGGAAAAUCGUAUGAAUACACACCAACAAACCGGGGAACACCUACCAACCGGGGAAUUCCCCGGUUGGUUUUAGGCGAAAAUCUCUAAUCUACGUGUAUGGAAUACCAAACUGUCAAUUUAAAUUAGAAAUCCAACGCCUUCCCCGAUUAGUGGGUUUGUGGCAUGCACAAAAUAUACACAAAUCUUGACUAAAUUACAAUCGAGUGUGUAUCCAGGCUUAUAACAGUUCCCCGGUUGCGCUGUUUAAAAAUCAUACACUCGGUAUUUAUAUCAUUUAGUGAAAGUAAGUUGGAAAAAUGGAGUUUCGAGCGAACAAACGCAUUAAACUAAGUAGCCAAAAGGGUCCACGUCCCCUUGAUCUCGCAAGAACGUACUGCCAGAAUUACGUUGAUCCACCAGGUUUUGAAGUAAAAACCGUCAAUGAUGUCAUAGGCGAAGAAGUCUUCGCCACUAAGCCUUUUAAAAAACGGAGACUCUCUUCUCGAAUACAAAGGGGAUCUGAUAACACGAGUAAAACAUGCACGGCAAUUAGAAAAGGAGUAUGAAAAGGAGGGUCAUGACAGCUUCAUUUACUUUUUUAAAUACAGAGACAAAUCUUGAUGCAUUGACGCUACCAACGAUAUAUUUCAUGAGGGUCGAAUGAUAAAUGAUGCCGAAAAUGGAGACGCAAAACAAAUUUGUGUAAUGAAAAUAGUUGAAGUCAACCAAACUCCCCAUCUAUGCACUUUCGCCGACAGAGACAUUGCAAUUGGCGAGGAACUCUGAUAUGAUUAUGGAGUACCAACACUUCCAUGGAGAAAGGCAACACAAUGGCUACUAGAUCUACGGACAGCCAGGAACCAGGACAAACAACAUCCAUACACACGGAAGAAGUCAAUAAGACGAAAUGUACGGAACAAAAAAGGGCAACACAAUGACUACUAUAUCUACGGACAGCCAGGAACCAGGACAAACAACAUCCGUACACACGAAAGAAGUCGUUGAGACGAAAAGGGUACUUCAAAUACCAGGAGAACAAAACAAGCAGCCAAAAAGCAAUGGAGUGAAAACGAAAAAGGAGCUGUUCACAUCGUUUUUUGAUAAUGGGUAAAUUACCAGGGAAAAAAGAAAUACUUGCAUGUUUUGAAAGUGAGAAUGACCUUCACAACAGAAGUUGGAAAUAUGUCAAAGACUCUUGCAGAAAUUUAAUUGAAACAAAAAAGCGACGGGGACUUUUAACUUAAAAAAAUAUUACACCUAUAAUGCACGUUUAGGAGAAUAUGUUAAAGGAUGAAGUUGCCACAUGUGUUUUGUGUGUUUUCUUGUUCUAUAUACUCUUUUCGAAAACGAUAUAUGUGUGCUUAUUGUAUUUGAAUGUUUUAUUAAUACGGUUCAGUCAAAAAUGAUAUUUGUUCAUAAUCAUAUCGCCGAACAAAUUAGGAUUGGUAUAUAGUUCGGCCAAAGAGUGUUUCUUUGUACUUUCUAUUACGAGUUUCUACGAGUUACUCACUUUACAAGUUAUUUUUUACCGUAAACUUGGUGAAUAUGAAUGAAUAUAGCAAACAUGAUAACAAAUCAAUCUAGAAGGCUAAACGUUCUGAGAAGGCACAAAAAUAUUCAGUCGGAUAAAUUGAAACAAACAUUUUGUUCAAGCAUAACAAACAAACACUUUUAGAUGUAAUAAGAUAAAUGUAAAUAACAUAAAAAAACUACUGCUAAACUACUGCUACAAUAUGAAGAAUACAAAUGAAUAUUUUGUCAAUUUUACAAAAUUUGUUUUGAAUGACAGGUGUCUGACUUGCAGUUGAGUACUUAAUAGUUAUUUUAAAGUAAACAUUUACCAAAAUAUAAAUUAUUGCGUAAAUAUCGCACUAGAAUUGAUUAAAUAUUUGUUAAAUAUUACAAUAAUUUCCUAUACAGAUUUUUGUGCAUUUGUUUUGCGUGUAGAUAUUCACAUUAGCUAUCAAUUCACAUAUUUGCUUUGUGUAUAUAAUUGGUAUGUUAAUAUGUUUUUCAUAUCAAAAUUGCUUGAUCUACAAAAAUUCGCGAGGAGCAUUUUUUUCCAUGUUUUUAAUUGAAGUUUAUAAUUCAACGACGAUGAAAAAUACUAAGAUGCCAGAUUUAGUUAUGUUUUUGUCUCAUUUAUGGUUAAAGAUCAAUUAACAUAACCAUUUCCCAGACUAAGAUAUUGUUAAAACAAUUUAUCGCGUUUGCGACUGACCUCUUUUAUGCAUUCUAACACAAGCUAUUUACUUGUUUUUUUUUAAUACUCUUCAUAUACACACACUUGAACAAGCUGUAGAUUACCUAGAACAAAACAUAUUUGAAACAUAUAUGUAUAUGUGAUAUGUACAUGCACAAAGCUAAUAAUUAAUCAUGUUUAUACACUUUGCGAUAUGAUGCUAUAAUGUCGGUUGUUUUAAGUGAUUAAUCAUUAUGUUAACCUUGUUAUAUGCCAUCUGGAAUGUAAUUAAGUGUUUUGACAUGUAUGCGAAAUUGAUCUUGUUCGAGUUGGUGCUGUAUAUUCAGAAUUUAGUCACACUGUUAUAAUUUUCCUGUUGGUACAUAUUAUUUUCAAGUUGGCACCAACAAGGGUCUAACAAUUGAUCCACAUGUGCACUCCCAUUAAGUAUAUAUACUAUAAUGUAAGUGAUUUAAAAUAAUAUUAAACUACGUGUUUGAUAAGUGUUUGCUUUGGUUCAUAUUUAAUUAUUAGUGUUAUAUAAUGAUAAUGCUGUCAAAGUCAGCGGUGAUUAUACGUGUAUAACAACAUUAAUUAUAACUUUUAUAUUGUUUUCAACAAAUAAUAUAUGGAUGACGCAUCGGCAUAACUUUUCAGUGCUUAAAAUACACUCUUUCUAUUAUAUUUGAUGCAAAAAUUAGGUAUAUAAGUUGGUUUGCAUAAAGGUAGUUUGAACAAAAUACGUGAAUUCAAAUCUUAAAAAAGGUGUUUGGUUUGCAAGGGAAAACAAAGCGAUUGCCAGUGACUAUUUUCCUUAAAAUAUAAUCUGUUAUUUCGACAGGUAGAAUUAAAUGUAAGUUCAUUAUUAACGUAAACCCGUUUUUGGCAUUCUCUUCUCAAACAAGUGCAUACAUACUGUAUUUUUUUAAUACAGCACAUGUGUAAUGGUAUCACAGUUGUAGAAUUGGAAUACAUAUACUAUAAGAAUAAAUACUGAUCAUUAUUCAGAUUGACCUACCGCCGUAGACUUAGUCACUGGCGCAUCAAAAUGCAUUGUUAUCAAGUCGUUUUGCUAGUUUACUAAACUAUUAAGUUUCUCAGGCCUUGCCACAUUCGUUGUGAAACGUUUAUGAUUGUUUAAAGUUACAGAUUUUAUUAUUUUUGAAAAUGCAAUAAAUGUAUAUAAGACAAUUUAAGUUAAGUGGAAGUUGCCAUGCGUGUGAAUGAAUUUUCUGAUGUUUACCUGUUUCAGGGGAUUAAAUGCAUGAGUUAUUUUAUAAUGUUAGAGUAAGGACAAAGUAAAUUUACACUACUCAAUCUACAUGCAUAUGGGCAGUUCUACUUUAAGGAUAAAAAACUUCAUAGUACGUGAAAAUCGUGAAUGCUUUUUUCUGAUGAAAAAAAGGAAUUAAACAAAUAAGCCGCCUUCCCCUUUUCUUCAUUCGGUUUGACAAAUAGCGUGGCCUGAAAAAAAAACAUUAUUUUUUUAGUUUUAAGAACGAAUUGUAUUCAUUUGUUGAGUAAUUGCACCAUGAUUGUUAUGGUAUAAUGCAGCACUUGCAUGCUUGUAGUCGGCUUAUAGCUAAUGAAGUCAUAAAUGUAUUGUUUGAUUUGCGUUUUGUCUCUUAUGCUUAUUUUGAUGUGAAUAAUAUUUGAGUCAAUCAAAUAAGGCAUUUUUGUAUAACGUAUAUAAGGUCAUAUGAUAAACAUAUUUAAUUUAAAUAUUGUUUCAUAAAUAUUCUUUUCAA